rnacentral:rRNA from 1 species
UACGGGGGGGGCAAGCGUUGUUCGGAAUUACUGGGCGUAAAGGGUUUGUAGGUGGCUUGUUAAGUCAGACGUGAAAUCCCUCAGCUUAACUGGGGAACUGCGUCUGAUACUGGCGAGCUUGAGUGCAGGAGAGGAACGUGGAAUUCCAGGUGUAGCGGUGAAAUGCGUAGAUAUCUGGAGGAACACCGGUGGCGAAGGCGGCGUUCUGGACUGCAACUGACACUGAGAAACGAAAGCCAGGGUAGCAAACGGG